AUCUAGCAGACGAGUCCCAAAUAGAAUGAAAAGUGCGUCAAACUAGAU
rnacentral:hammerhead_ribozyme from 1 species